rnacentral:misc_RNA from 1 species
UCUCCGUUGGUGAACCAGGGGAGGGAUCAUUACUGGAAUCGCAAGAUCCCACAACCCUGUGAACCUACCGAAACGUUGCCUCGGCGGGUGCCCGGCCCCCGCGCCGGGCGCUGCGCCCGCCGGCGGCCCCCUACUCUGUCUCUGCAGCGUGGCAUCUCAGAGUCCCAGAAAACAAGUCAAAACUUUCAACAACGGAUCUCUUGGCUCUA